ACAACAUAAAUUACCAGUACAUAAGCUCGAAAGUUUGUUACCUUUUUACUCUCAAACGGCUUGAAGAAUUUCAUAAUUUAACGGUAAAUCCGCAGGAGAAAAAAACUUAUCUCUUUCACGCCCUAUUUCUUAGCAUCUUUUUAAAAAUAUAACGUUUAGUUUAGUAGAGUUCUUAAAAGACGAUGGAGAAUAUCGAUAUUAUGUGUUGGCACAAUAUGCCUCAGUGUAAUAAUUAUAGUUAAGCAAAAACAUGAUUAGUUUAGGGCAUUAUUUUAAAUGGGAGAUUCUCAUGUAUCGAAUAGGUUACGGUAGUAACAGAACGAUGUCUUCCUUUUAAAUAUUCAGAUUCCUUUCGCCACAUGUAAAGGAUUUUUGUAAUACAUAUAUGUACUUAGUUUACAGUUUUUUUAUACAUAUAUAUAUAACUAAUUACAUAAAUAAGUUUCCUGAGCAAUAAUCGAAUUUGCGACCCAUCGACUCUACCUGACUACUAACUGUUUAAAAACAUCCUGUAGGACCUAAGUGAAAAAGUGAUUAGGUUGAAUUGAAUUAUACUUCAUACAGAUUAAAGAAAAUGUAAUAUAUUCUUGCUCUAUUAUUUGUUUUGACGACAUAUUAUAGAGAGCCAUUGCGCUACAGGAUUACAAAAACAGAACAGCCAGAUCAUAUUCCAUAAGAGUUAAAUUUCACAAAGAAUUAAUACUUUUCUAUAGCUAAUUUACUUAUAUUGAGGAGUAACAAAUACCACUGUGUUUCUAACUGUUGCUUACAGCAGAGUUCGAAUCACAACCUCUUAAGGAAGUUAAAAUCUCAACACGAUACUCAUUUAGGUCAAGCGGUUUAUGGUAGAGACAUUUCGAGUGCUACAUCUAGGUCAAGCUUCGUCUAACUAACCCGAAAAUUCUAUCAGACUUAGAAGAGAAAAUGUGCUAUUAAAGAUAUUUCUAUUUAAGUCAGAACACUUCGGAGUAUUUUGAGCUAUUCUGUUAAACCUAACCUACAUACGUCUUUAACCUAAACUAGACACAUUCCAGACUCUCUCAGACUCAGCUUCAGCAGUUACCGAUUACAUGAUAUGUAUUUACAAUUUUUCUACUUCACGAGUAAGCUGUCAAAAUAUUUAUUCUAUUCAACACAACAGAUUAGUCCAUAUGUUCCUUGUUAAAAUAAACUGGAAAAUUUGCUGUAAAUAUUUCUAACAGUAUAUUUUAUUUUACCCCCAAUUUAUUGCUUUACCAGCUGAUUUGUUGCCUCCUAAGUAUAAUAUUUCAUACUAGUCAAACUCCUCUAAACUUUCGACAUUAUCAAAUACCACUAAUGUAAAGUGGUUUAACUUUACGGACAUUAAAUGAAAAUUUUGAAGUACUUAAAUUAUCACUAGUCUCAGUUAUCAGAGUGCAACUUAUGAAAAACUUAUAACUAGUUGGGCGGGCGGCGCUUGUUGGUUGCACUGCAUUAUCAGGAAGCUGAGGUGAGAGUCCAGCGCAGCCCUGGCGCCGCUUGCAACGUGAGUCAGCAGCAGUCAGCAGCGAGCAGGCCAUCCCGCGGGGCGUAAGGCGUGCGGCGGCGGCGCGGGGCGGUUGCAGCGCCCCAGGCAACGCCGCGUGGCGAGGCGUGCGACAUACUAGUGUCGAAUGUGAGUCGUGUGCAGUGUAGCACGCGCCGCCCGCGGCCGCACAUCGCUCAUCGCGCUACGCCGCCGCCUCCCCGCUCUGCCGCACCACGCGUCCGCUGGGCGCGUCGCGCGGGCCGCGGGCCAGGCCCGCGAGCCUGCUGCUUCUGGCCGCGUGGCUAGCGGCCGUCGCUGCCGAGCUCGCUUGUCCUCAAGACCCUCCCGCCGCUCAGAUCGCGUGCGCCUCUUGCCGCUCCUACGAGAACGCGCGAGAACACAGCUUGAGAGUGAUACGCGAGAGCUUGCUGGCCAAGCUCGGCUUCACGCAGGCCCCCAAUACGACGGGGCGGGAGCUGCCUCAGGUGCCAGCAGACAUGAUGGAGCGGUUCGAGCGUCGGAAGCCGCCGCCGGGCGUGCAGGCCGACUCACCAGUCCCCACCAGGACCUUCGUCACUCAUACGGAGCAGGACGACUUCCUCGCAAGAACCGACAAUGUCCUCAUCUUUGCACAUUAUUAUUCGGCGAUAUCACAUCUGCCCUUAAGCUGAUCGCAAUUGCCAAUCGCGGAUUUGACGUAGAGUAGGUGAGUACUUGAGUAGGCGUUCGACGUCUCUCUGUCUGUCAUUCGCGCUGCCCGAGGAACACUGCCCUCGACUCAUAUAAUCGACGUGCAAACGCACCGCCUCCGUUUAACUGAAUGACACAAUUCCUGACACAUUACCUAAUCUCGACAACGUACGUUACGGCGAUUUUGGGAGUUCAGGGUUCCCGAUCUGUUAGCCCAAAUUGUACUCCAAUUUAUUCCGGAUGAUACUUAAGGCUACCAGUUAUUCUUCAAAGACAAAAGAGGACUAUGCCUAUUGGGGACACCUCUAUAAAAAAAAC